rnacentral:lncRNA from 1 species
ACUUUUCUCCAGAUACUUUUAGGAUUUUUUCCUUCACUUUGAUGUUGGGUAAACCGAUGGCUAUAUGCUUUGAUGAGGUUAGUCUUGCAGAGAAUCUGCCAGGUGGUCUUUGAGUUCUAGUGUCUGAAUGUCUAAUUCUUUCCCUAACCAGGGAGCUUUUCCUGAAUUGGGUUGUUUGUUUUCUUUUUUAAUAGAACAUCCUUCUUUGGAGAUUAAGAGAUAUACACAUAUUUGAUUAUGAAAAGGAGGCCUCUGGGAGAAAACUUGAAAAAACUGAGACUAGAUGAAGUGUUCUU